rnacentral:lncRNA from 1 species
CUAUAGCCGCGGAUGAUGAGGUCGAUGAGGUCGUGGUUGCGGGAGGCGAGGUAGGACUCGAGCUCGGAUCGGAGGAAGUCGAAGUCCGGCGAGAGAAAGAGCGCGGGGUUGAACCAGAGGGGUCGGAGAAGAAGUCGACAGGUUUGAGGUGGGAGGCUGAGAGAGAUUUGAGUGAUCGAGUCUGUGUUUUAGACUUUGACUAGGGUUUUCUAAUACAAUGAACGGUUCAGAUUAGCUCAAACAAUAAUUAUUUAAAUAAAUACAAAAUAUUAUUAAAUAUAUUGGUACGGUAUACCAUGUCAAUACCGUACUAAUUGCAAUUGGUACGGUUGUACCAUUUUAAACUUUCGGUACCAACUUGGUUUGGUUCGGUUGGUUGGUUUGGUUUAGACUUAAAUGUCGGCCCUACAAAAUAACAUCAUAAAGUUCAUAACUGAGCACAGCUAAAUGACAAUAGCUAAUAUAAGAAAAUACAGCACAUUUGGUAUAAGAGAUUGUCUAACCCAGGCUUAAUUUCUAAUGGAGUCCAACACUACUCAAGUCAGGCUUAUUCUACAAUAAGUCUAACCCAUGUUUGGUGGCAGUAUGACUGAAAAUAACACCACCUGCAAACAACUUCAAAAGCAAUAAACAAUUGAACACAAACCCAUAAGCAAUGAACGACUUCAGCCAAUGGGUUGGCAAUGAACACAGUCUCCAUAAGCAAUGAACAAUUGAACACAAAACCCAUCUUUCAUAAAUAGAUCAAACUUCAACAAAUUAAAGGCUUCAAAUAUUUCUUUUUUCAUUCUUCAGCAUUAGAAGUUACAUUUACAACAGAAAAGUGAAAUACUCUUACUUUAGAAUCAAACUACUGCAAAGGCACCGAUUACAUCAAUUAUGCAGCUUUUGUCCUCCCAUCAAACCUAACUUCCAAAGAGAUCGAACCAAAUUAAAAAGAAGCACAAAUUCCUCCAAAAGCAAGCAAGAGAAGACGACCAGAUCGUGGAUCUUGCCGGCGAGCAACACGUCGUCCGAGUACUCUUGAUCGACUUAGGCUGACACAAGGGCUUCCCCAUCUAGAGAAGCUGGGCUUUGUUCAUCUCAGUACAAAAAAUUUGUCCUCUUUGAUGACGAUGACAAGAAUUUGAAGAGAUAAGACACAUAAGAAUCAGAAACCCUUAUAUAUAGAGUGGGUAAUCGAUGAAGAUCCAGACAAAAAGCAAUUGGAGGUGAGAGGGGAGGCAAGGCUGAAGCAAAGAAUUCAGUUUUAGGAGAAAAAAAAAAUUAGGUGUGUAUUGGAUGAUAGAUGGUCCCCUGAUUUUUGAUGGGUUUGUGGUAGAAGGUUUGAAGGUGGGCCCGGGGACUGUAACUUCAUUUAAAAUAGUCAUUCUCUCUCCCAAACAUGGGACAAGUCUUAUUUCUUUAUGUAAGUAGUCUAGUCCCCACUAAUCCUGUGAAACAAACGUGUUCUAAGUAAUAAAAUGAAAUGGCAAGUCAAUGACAGACCAAAAGAUUUAUAGUUAGUCAUCAUUAGAUUUAAAUCUAAUGGUAGAAAGAAUUAUUUUUAAGUAGAGCUGUUUUGUUUUCAACCAUUGGAUAUAAAUCUAAUGGUGACUGACCAUGAAUCUCUUGGUCAGUCAUUGAACAUGUGAACACUACUUAUCCAAAUAUAAAUAUUCAUCUUAGAAAAUUUCUAGAAAGAAAGGCUCUUCCUUCUCUCUAAAAAUUUUCUCCAUCACAACCAAUAUUUUGAGAGUCAUCCGAAGCCAACCCCUUCCACCACCACCACCAUCAUCUUCAUCCCAUCCACUCACUCCAUCUCCUUCGUCCCUUGCACAUAGCCUCCCUUUUGUAGACCCACUUUCUCUUUCCUCUCUCUUCUUCAACUACAUCACCCCUCUACCACUUCUAGCUCUUCACAAUCAAUGCUGCUCUCAUCAGUCCUUCACCGUUGAGAGUACAUCUCACUCUUACCACCUUCAAUACUGUCACAUCCCGGUUCUUAAAUAAUUUUGUGGUUACUUACUUUUGCGAUAAUUUGAUCUUUUACCAUUUUAAGUAACCGUUUACUAUUUAGGGACCCUAGAGUUGACUUUUCAUAAGAAAAAUAUUUUGGAAAAAUUUCUUAAAGGGAGUCGUAGAAGACAUUAAUACGAAUCUAUAAAUAUGCUAUACGUUUUAAUCGGAGUUCGUAUGUAAAAGUUAUGGUGUAAAAUCUAAAGUUACUAUUUCAGUCGGGAGUAUAAAAAGGGAAACUUACCAAAAGGGGUAAGGUAGAAAUCAGAAAUGUAAUACCCUAGAUUUUCAUAUCAAUUUUCCUCGUAUUAUUUCCGGAAUUAAUGAAGGAAUAUUUAUGGAAAUUCUUAUUUGGUUGUGCGAAGUUGAAAUUUGGGAGUAUUUUUUUUAGGUGCUUUGUCUUUUAAGAGAUCAAAAAGUUGACUUUAUUUUCCGUAAGUUAUUUUCGAAAACUUCCUUCAUAAAAGUUGUAGAGUUUGUCGAUACGAGUUCAUAGACACACGGCAGGUGUAAAUCAGAUGUCAUAUGAGAAAGUUAUGGUUAUAGGAAGUUAGUUUUCGGUUUUAGAAAGAGUAUAAGUAGAAAAAUUUGUGGGAGUUAUUUUUUGGAAACCCUAAAGUCAGCUCUCUCUCUCUUCUCUCUUCUCUCUCUUCCUCUCCCGAGCUCACCUCAUGCAGCUAACUUUCGUCGGAGCUAGGUCCGCUGUCCGGCCACCAUUUGGACCGCCACCGGUCCCAUUCGACUCCCACAGGUGUCCUCUUCAAGGCUGGGCAGCUGCUACUCGACGUAGCGCUCCGGAAUCGGAGCCCCUUGCCGGAAAAGGGAGCUGCUGCAUCGCCGAUCGGAACUGUCGUAUAUGGCGACGACGGGGGGCAACCAUAGGUGAGUUUUGGUCCUCUCCUCCUCUUGGUUGUGGCUAGGCAUAGUUUGAAGCAAGUUUUUGAGUUGUUGUGCCUGGAUUUGCAGAUUUAAGGUUAAUCUCCAUGAUGGAGUUUCGAGGCACUGUUCGGCCGUUUCUGGUCAAAAUAGGUUGAAACCUCAAGUAUUAAAGUUGCUCUCCAUGCUUCAAUCUACAAGUUUCAUGUUGAGAGUUUCCCCAAAUUUUGAAGUUGGGGGUGACGCGUGGGGCUCACUCGCCGCCGCCUGUAGCGGAGCUUCCAGGCAGUGUGGGGGAUUUGGUUGCCGUGUUAGCUAGUCCUUGUUAGUUACUAGUGUGUUGUUGUGUGUGAAGGCUAAGUGGUGUUUUGGUUUUGGUAUCUUAGGUGCUAUGUUGUUCUUGGUGUUUAUUAGGUCAUAAACUUUGAAAGUUUAAUCUUGGAGGUAGUAUGAUUUGUUAGUUGAGUGUCCAAUGACCUUGGGAGGUCUCGGAGGAAUGAUUGUACUUCUUUGGGCAACCUUUAGGUUAAGGGUACCUUGAUCCUUGUUGAGAAAUUACUAAAGUUUUAAUUGUGUAAUUUUAGGUGAUUUGUGAGGUUGUAGUUUAGUUUGGCUCUUGUGUUUUGCGGAAACGCAGCAGGAUAUUGAAGUGAGUAAAUCUCACCAAGGUUCACUUUUGAAUCAAAUUUUAUUAUGGUCAUUUGAUGUUGAUGUUGAAUUUAAUAAUAUGCUAUUAUUUGUUUUUAAAAUAUAUGAGCUUAAUCAUCAACGAUUCAUAGGUAAGAUAAAACAAGUUUUCCUUAUAUGUUUAUUUUUGAGGUUCAUGUGAUCAUAAUUUUAUUGAUUAUUGAUAGAUUAUUCUUGUGGAAUAUCUAUAUUUAUUCAUAUAAAUAUAUAUAUGUGGAAAGAUAUAAUUUAUGAUGUGAUCUUGUGUUGUUGAUGAUGGUGUUGUGAUAUUGUGAGUGUUGGAUAAAUAGCCAAACCGGGUUUCAAGCCUUUAAUCGGGUGAUUGGUUACGGUUAUGAUGAUAUUUUUAUUUUGUGAUUUGUUAUUGGACAAUUAAACUGGGUUCCAAGCCUUUGGCCGGGUGAUUGGUUACGGUUAGGAAUAGAGCUAUAGUCCGUCUGUCGGUGUAGGUCAUGGGAGAUAUCUUAUGGUAUCUGGGACCCAUGGGUACACAAAUUGUUGUUGUAGGUCAUGAGAGGUAUUUAUUAAUAUAUGGGACUCAUGAGUACAUGUUAUUUGUAAAAAUGUUGGAAUUGUGGAUUUAAUUAUAGAUCUAAAUUUUGCUCUUGGGAUAUAUUUGGAUGUUUAAAAGUGUUGUGUUAUUUUUGAGAGAUUACUCAUACGGGCUUUUUAGCUUACCUGGUUUGUUGUUUACAACCCGGUUCACCAAUUCUUGGUGUAGGGGUUAGACCUGCAGGUGAGGAUCAGCAGGGUUGAAGCGGAGGCUUAGUGGUAGGGUUUUUAUUGGGUUUUGAUGUUCACUGUAUAUUUUUAUAUUUGGGGUAGACAGUAUUAAACUCAUGUGAGUGUUUUUAUUUUCUUGAUUUUCAAGUUUAUGUAAAUAAAGAAAUGUAAUAUUUAACUCAGUGUUGAAUUGUGUGACAUUUACAUUUUCGCAUUGAGUUUUAGUUUUCCUUGAAGUUUGUUUGAAACAGGUUUUGAGAUUAUAAUAUUUUAGGUUAUAUCAUGCCAAAUUUUUUAAAAAUUAUCCUUCGAAAAAUUUUCAAAAAAAUUAAGGGUGUGACAAGAAAGUUACACUCCCUCUCUCUCUCUCCUCUCCCCCGCAACUCUCUCCUCUGACAGACAUCUCGCCACCGUCCGCUGUCGUCCGGCCGAGUCGAGCGGCAAACUUGGUAUCAAAUUGAAGCUGGGAUCUUCCUCUUCAAGUCUAGGUAGGUGGCUAGUCGUAAUGUGCCGCCUUGAAGGAGAAAUCACUCCGGAAAGGCGUGCCUUCACCGCCGAGUUCUUCUCGCCGGAACUCCCUUCUCCAGCCAUCAUAGUUGAAGCUUCUUGUCUUGUUUGGAAGCUCUCAUCUUGUACAACAAAACCUCAAAAGGUUUCAACCUAAUUCGAUCUAGGUAAGGAGAAUCGUUGAUUUGAAAUUUUAGGGUUCUUGAAAUGGGGUUUUUAUGUUUUGGUUCGAUUUGCCUAUUUAGACAAAAUGGAGACCGUAUCCAACCACUGUGAACCUUCUACCUUCGACACUUGUAGGCGAGCCACACCGUUGAACCACUGACGCUGGACCAUCCACCAACAACUGUGAGGUGUCGCACCAAUCCCGCAACACUCCCAUCUUUGAUUUGUCCGUCUUCCGUGCUAAAUCCAUCAAUGCAGCAACAACCACAUGUUAGAGAGAAAAACUACUCCUCGAUUCGAGCCUUUGAACGAAAGAGUACAUCCACAAAGCCUGUAUACAGCCUUUACAUCGACAGUCAGCCUCUUAAGUUACUCAGGUACCAUUUUUCCUGUACAUCCACAAAGCCUCUGACCGCGGCCAUCGUACACCGGCGUGGCCAGAGGCUGACACCAACUGAAAGUAUAGAAUGGAACAGAAUAUGGAAGGAUUGAAUAUGUAGAUUCAAUCCUUUAUCAAAUUAAAAGCAACAGACACAAGAACACAAGAUUUUGUUAACAACAAUGUAAACCUCCCACGAGGAAACGUCACUACGAGACUUUUAAAGUAGUCUAUACUAAAUCAAAUCCAUUAUAGAGUAAGAAUGAUUACAGACCUAUCAAAUAGGAUAUUCAACACAAUCACAUUCACUAGUAUACAAACUAACUUGAUACAAACUGAUAACCUUAUUCUAACUCUCCAUGAAUCUGAGUUGCACACAAGAAGGAUCUGAACACGCCUUCAAUGCUUUCCAAGCCACUGAUCUUGAUCACUAUAAGAAUGACAGAUGCAAUGAUACAAGCAUAUAAUUUGACAAGAGUUUUCACAUAAACAAUGCAGACUAUGCAACAUAUACUUUAUUCUUUUGACGCACAUAAACUCUGUAGUUUGGAAAAGUAUUUCCAUGUUUAUAUAUAGAGUGAUACAACUCCCACAUAAUCGAUCACCAUUGAUCACUGAUUAGGAUAAACAUGGAAACCAAUUUUGAAACCAUAAUCAGAUAUAUUUUCCAUAACAGAAAGAUAUGAUAAGAGUAAAACUUUUCCAAAACAAAGUAAGUGAAAGAAUAUAAUCAUAUUAGAACUUCUUUCCUUACGCAUUAUCAUAUUAGAAUAUAGAGAGAAUAAUUUCCUUAUUAAAAUACUAAUCAAAUUAGAUUUAAUAAGGAAAUUCAAUCAGAUAUUUAAGCACAUAAAAUCUAAUCAAAUUAGGUUUCCUUUCUUUUCUCAUGCAGCAAUAAAACACGAAAUACACUCCUUAAAAUGAAUGAAUAUCACCUGCAAUGAAACUUGUUCAAAUUAGAAUUAAGAAAGGAAAUAUAUCAUAUUUGGUGAGAGAUUACUUUUGUAUAGGAAUGACAAUCAUGAAUAUUAUGCCUACACCAACGCCGCAACGUAGCUGGACAAGAGGGAGAGAGCACCAUAGAGAAUUCUAAGUUACACGUGUGUGGCGUGUUCUAGAAAAAAGAGAGCGUAAAAAAAUGUACCGCUAACUAGUCCUUAACUUAAGAGUCCUUAUUAAAAUGACUCUUUUUUAUUAAAUGAUGAAAUGGUGUAUACAUGGUAUCAAAUUCUGGUUUUUUUUUUAGUGAAAAAUUCUGGUUUUAGGUAAGAGGCUCUUGCAAAACGAAGAUUUGAGAUCAGUUAAUUCCUUGUUAGUCUAGUUGCUUUAGCACUUGUAUUCAUUCCGUUCCAUGUUAGCUUCCAAAAAACAAUAGAAAAAAACACUUUCAGAUCGAUCAGGGCUGACAUUUGAGUAGAACCACCUACCUUGUCAAGAGUCCGUAUUUAAUCUUGAGCUAACAAUUUCAAGUUUAAUGAGGAUCCCCUUACCAACACUGAUUUUCAUAGGAACAUUCGGAGAGAAAAUUAGAGCUGUCCUGGCUCAUUGGGGAAAAAACAAGGAAAAAGGUUGGAGAACGGCUUUAAAUGUAACUUGUUAGUCUUUUGGAACCAUGUACCACAAAAAACAUAAAAACAGAUGACUGUUCAGUUAAUUAAAAUUCUGGGUAAGGGUGGGCAUAAAAUCUCGUAAUCCCGAACCUGUUCCGAUCCCGUCCCAAAAUUUGUCGGGAUGGGACGGGAUUUAAAUAUCAAAACAUUAGACCCGUCCUGUCCCAUCCUUAUACAACGGGACGGGACGGAUAAUUCAAGUCCCGUUUAGACCCGUCCUAUCCCAACUAUUUUAAUAAUUAAUUUUUUGUUGAUUAAUAUGUGAUUUGAAGAUUUCAUUUAAGUGUUUUAAUCUUAGCUCUUUGUUUUUUAAGUUAAUAGAUUGUCUCCAAUUCAAUAACAUUGAUGUUUAAUACUUUAAUUUGUUGAUUGUUGUAGACUCUCUUCUUGCACUGCACGGUAGUAGUGAUGAUAUGUUUAGAAAAAAUAAGCAGUAUAAACUCUCUUAUUAUACCGUGUUGUACUUGUAAAUAUGUUACAAGUACUUGUUAAUAGUUAAUAGAAUAAAGAACACUAUAAAACUAUGAAACUCUUUCUUUUACUUAUAAAUUUAUUUUCAACUUCUUUUAUCCGGGAUUGGGCCCGUCCCAACCGGGAUAGGACCCGGGUGGGAUAAAAUCUAAAAAAUGCAAAACCCGUCCCGUCCCGUCCCGUCCCGUCCCGAUUUCAAUAUCCGGGACGGGCCGUGAGAUUUGCUCUAUCCCGUCUCAUCCCGUCCCAAGCCCACCCCUAAAUUUCUGGGAAUCAGAAAUAAAAACAGAAGGAAAGAAGGAAAAAAAAAAAAGGAAUGAAAAAACACAGUACAACGCCCUGCAGAUAUGCAUGGCAAUUUUUAUCUUCAUGAUCAGUAAUCAUCGCCUCUUGAUAUGACCUCUUUACAGGUUGGCCGAAGUAAAAUUGUAUGUUCAAACUGAGAUACAUAGCUUCCCUUAACAUCACAGAGAGGAGGACAGGGCUGCCAGAAGAAACAAACCAUCACAUUAAUUUCAGUUGAGCAAAAUGGGAAGAUUAACAGAAGCUAUGUUGUAUUAUAUAAAGUUAAGAUGAUCCCUCAAGCAUCCCUUAACGGGAAAAAUAAUGCACAUAUUUUGUAGUCAGCAACAUUUAUCAACUAAGAAAUUGUCAAGCUGGUCAAUUUUACAAUACAAGGCAAAUAUGAAAUCCCACCAACAGGGAGAGUCCCUAGGUACACAAGUGUAUAUUUGCAAAAUAGAUUUUUACCGAAGAUAUUUCAAUUUGAUCAGGCAAAAUUUUAUGUCUCUGAGAGGCCUGUUUUACAACCCACAUUAAAGCAGACUUUCACAAAAGAGCAUCCAUGUCUAUGAAGUUCCUAUUGCUUAUCACUAGUAGUCAGAUCCUAACAUGAUUUGUUUGUUUCCAUCAGUUCAGCAUAUGCUCUACCUACUUAUCAGUUGUCAUGCAAUGCAAGCAAUCCCUAAUACAUGGUUUCCCGUACAAAGAAAUUCACAUUAGUACCAUAAAGCUGAAAGCAAUGUCCACCUUUUAUUUAUGAUUAGUAGUCACAGAUCCUUGUGUGUUAACAGGAAAAACGGUUCCUGAGUGCAAACUAUUUGAGUUCACAUCUCAGACACACACUUAGACUGCACCUCCUAGAUUCUAUAUUUCUCAUGUGACAUUAUAGCUCACAGCUAACUUAUAUAAUUUUCAUGUAAACCAUUUUCCAUAAGACUUGAGCAUGUUAAAGCAUCAACAAAAAGGCAUGCAAAUCAUGGACAUAAAACAACUUCUUCACUUGUGACAGUUACAGAUUGUGUGUCAUGAACUGGAAAAUUUGUGGUACUUUAUAAGACUGAAUUCUUGUGGAUGAUUGUUGCAUAAUAACAAAAGUUAAACUAAAUGCAAGAUUCACAAUGCUAAAUAAGUAAUCCGAGAUGAAACAAUGUUAUUUUAUGGGUACUGACAUCGGCAGUUAAUGUAUAGAUAUUUGGAUAAAUGCUCAUGAAUGAAAUGUACCUGCACAAUGCCAGCAUCACAUAAAUUCUUAAGCGCCAUAAGAUACUUUGUCUCCCCCAGGCGGUCUAAAUAUCGCCUGCAGAAGGCCAAUGUGGAGAAGUUCUUGUUAAUUGUUGCUAGCAGUUGCUUUGCCCUAGGCAGCCUCAGUGGGAUGUGACCCGCAUCAAAAUUUUUCAUGUAAUGGCUGCACUCUAGAUCUUCUCUGACAUAUCCUUUCCCUAAAUACAAGUUAUAUAAAAAGGGACAGUUAGAACUUAGGACAGAAAGCCACAUGUGAACUAGUGUGCCAUCUUUCACACCAGAAAUCAAAGUCCUACCAAUUAUAAAAACUUGGUUAUACCAGUUGAUGCGAAAGUUUCGAUUGCAAAAAAUUCACCCUCUUCCAUUUUUGUCUGCUCCCCUCCUUUUACAAUGGGAACUGAUUUUCCAGCAUGGAUUUGGUAAGGUCCAAUGCUAUGUCCAUUCAAGUUCCGGAUACUUUUAACUGCCAUAAGUAUCCAUAAUUAAUGAUAUGACAAGAGAAGAUAUAAAAAGCUCUAUAAUCUCUAUUUUUUAAAGAAAAUAAGUAUGCUGGAAGUAAAAAUACAAUACAUCAUACCAUUAACACUGACAAUUGACAAAGGUAACCAUCUCUCACAUGAGUCACAUCAAAAGGAAAAUUACCUUGAAACACCUUCCCAUUGAUUUCAACCUCAUAUGAUUCCAUGACUUCUUGAAUUGCAGCACCAACAUCACAAAGACGCACAUCAAUUCCAGACUCCUAAAAAAAUAAGACCGGGAAUAACUACGUAAGAAGCUGUUUGAUUGAAGCACUAAAGUCCAGCACUGGUAAAAAAUUCCAUGCUGUAAUUCAGCGAUGAUGAUCAAUCACAAGAUAGUAAUAAUUAGAGACCAGAAUACAAUUUACAACCCUGAGGUUUACAUAGUUUUCCAAGGUCAUACCUGUGAGGAGCCUGAAGUAGGAGUUCUAGAUACCAACAGCUAAGUAAGAAACCAAGGCCAGAAAAUGAAGAAAAAAAGAAGAAAAUAAAAGAACCUUUGUAGUAUUCAUGAACAUAAGAGAUGUAACUUGGAUGAUAUCCCACAUAUGCAUACAACAGAUUCAUUUCCAAUACAGCUCUUUGGUUUUUCUUUUUCCUUUUUUUCUUUUUGCAGAGACCAGGCCUCAGUCCCUUCUGUGGUCUGCCUACUUUCUGUUGCUCAAUAUUUGGCGUCAAGACCAAAAUAUUCGUUGUUUCUUGAUACCAGACCGUCAGUUUAGUCAAACAACAAGUGAUGCUCCAGCACUAGCGGCACCUGCGAUCUCUUGUCUCUUGGAGAGUAUAUUGGGAUUUCACUGUUUUUUUCUUUUGUUGCUACCGUUUAUAUUUGUGUAUUGUAUUUACUAUUUAUCACUGUCUUCUAGAAGGUCUUGGGCGCAAAAGGCUGCCAAAAAAUCUAAAAGCAUGCCCACACUCCUGUCAACCCUCCCACCCUAUCUGCCCUGCCUACUCUCUAUUGUACUACAAGUGUUAGGAAUGCUUCUUCCUUUUAGUUAUUUUCCUCGUUUUGUUCUCUGAAAAGGAACCACGUUACGGCGGAAGAAAAAGAGAUACAGGAGCUGUGGAUAAGAAGUUGACAGCGCAAAAGAACAGGGCAAAAAAAAUCAUCAAAACAAACAGGAGAAAGAAAACAUCAGUAACACACUAGCCUAGGAGACACAAAGCCUGAACACUAAGUUUCAGCAUCCUUUAAGUCCUCAACAAUAGAAGACAGGGCGUAGUUAUUAAUUCAUUAAAAAUAGACGCCCAUAAGGAUGACAAGAACCUAAGUCUCUGAACGCUCAUCACUCCCCCGCCACCUUUCUAGUCUUCCCUUCGGUUUACGAUAGACUUGAAUAACACAAUACUGAAUACUUGGGCUAGUUAACAGUGUAAAAAGAAGGGGAAAAAAUGACUUGAUUGCACAUAUGUUUCAACAAAGUUAGUAUAUAUGAUGUAAUCUUGAAAAAUGAGUAUAAUAGACUUAUGUGAGAUGGAUAUCUAUCAUUCUUGAAUUUUGAUAACUUGAGCCAUUUUCUACUUACUCAUCAUAUUAUCCACUCAAACAUCUAUCCUUAGACUCAUAACAACAAACAAACACUUUACAAGCAAUAAUUUUCAUGCACUUCAACCAAAGAGUUAUACAGAUUUUGAUGAACUUGCAGAAAUUGGACUGUAAGUACCUUGAUACCAGUAUUUGUUGCUUCACGUGAGGCUUCAAGUAGUGGAUUAAACAUAGGAUUGAAUGCUACUGUAAAGGCACAGUCAACUAUAUGACCUGUAAAGUCAACAACUCAGAUGAUUCCUUGCCCUUCAAAGUAUAAGAUAGUUCACAACCAAGAGGUAACUUCUGAAGAGACAUCGAAAUACAGUCAAGCAGUUCAAAUUGAAUUACCAUCAACAUGAGUUCCAAAAUCUAGCUUCAUCACAUCAUCAUACUGAAGCACCGUCUUGUCCCCUGUAUUUGGGGUCCAAUGAGCAGCAACCCUGAUAAUACGGAUCAAUGAAUAUAAACAUAACAAUAUGAAGAACAAUAGAUGAAAUAAAAUUCAUGGCUGACAUAUUAAAAAAGAUUACCAAUUCAAAGAGCAUCCUGUGGGGAAUGCAAUGCCUGCUUCCAGACCAUUCUCGGAUAUUAAUCUACGGACUGUGUUCUCCAAAGUCUCACACAAAUCAGUCAUCAACAUUCCAGGCUUUAAGAUCGAUCUAAUGUAUUUCCGUACCUAUUUAAGUGUUAUCAAAGCUAACAGUUAGUUUCCUCUCCAAGAGAUUAUAAUGAAAAAUGCAUUGUAUUGACAUAAUGAAAUUGCACCUGGAGAUGAACUUCAGCAGCUCGACGAACUGAAUUAUAUAAUGGUUUUUCAAGGCGCUCCAACUCCCUCUUCUCUUCAGAGGUAGUUCUCCACAAGUUGCUGAAAAACAAUGCAAAUUUUAAAUAUAUAAAAAAUAAAAAAAUAAAAAAAACAAUGAAACAAAAAUGCAAGACUUUCCAGGAUCGUGCAAACUAGAAAAGUUAGGAUGCUUUCAAUUUAUAGGAUGUCCAACAAAGAGAAUAUUCCAUUAGUGAUUUGAAAUAUGUAAGCUUGCAAGAAAUUAGCAUAUACUCACUCGUCUCUGUAUUGUUGAAUUUCACCCUCAGGAUACUCCCCAUGAGGGAAUAGAUCAAUAAGUGGAAUGGAUGGUGGAUCAGUUUGCCUACUUUUCGAUUGUGGAUUAGUCAACCCACUUGUAGAUUGUGGAUCAGUUUUCCCACUUGUAGUCUGUGGGUCAGUUAGCUCUGUCUGUGCUUUCUUUUUCCUACACAUAAGAAAAGAUAUUAUAAGCUUUCUAGUAAAAUAGCUCCGGAAAAACCUUAUUAAAACCAGAAAUGUUCCUUACUUGCUCUUAUUUUUCUUCUUCUUUUUCUUUGAAACAUCUGCACGAUGCAAAUAUUAGGAACACAUCAACAAAUUGGAGUAUACAACGCUAUAGCUGUCCAGCAAAAGUAAAACUCCACUUACUAUUAAAGUAAAUUCACAAUACUAAGAACUUCCAAAGGUAUAGAUACUUUUUAAUGGAACUCUUAACCCUGGAGAGGAUUUACCCACUUGCUACCCUAGGGAUUCUUAGGGACAAAACCAGUGACUGGGUGGAUGGUGUGAUCAGUUAUGUAACCUUAUAAAUAAAAAUACAUGACAGUGGAAUUCAAAUGGUUUUCCUGUUUUUGCAUCCAAAUUCCCAAAAUAAAAGGUUAGUCACAACUGGUUGGGAAAAUAAUUGGACAAGUGUAUGAACAGUCAAGACUUAGACAAAACUUAAGGGUAACUUAAAUACAACCCUUACAAUGGAUUACAUAAAUACAGUCCAAGAUUUUGAUAAACAUUAUUUUCUCUUCUAAUGGCCGGGAAAAUUAUAUGGUGGAACACCUAACUCCAGAUGAAGAAUAAAGGUGGUUACAUGCACUGUUAUGGCACCAAUUCCGCAAACAAGGAGGAAAUAUAUAGAUUCCCUGUUCUACAUACUUCAUGCGGCCUUCACUACUUUGGAUAAUAAGCCAAGUCGGACGUAUAGCAAACUGACAGCUGAUUAGGAUGUACUAAAAUUACUUGAUUAUCAAACCCAAUCUGAGAAGGUGCUAUCUGAGGCAGGCCUCUCCAGUUUUGAAUCUUAACAUCCUAGCAUAUUCUAGUAUCAUUUGGUCCAUCCUUUAAGUUCUAUGAUUGCACAAAGUUCCAUCCGCCCUCUCCUAAGUGAUACAUCAAUAUAAGUCACGGAGAAAUAACAGUGGCAUGGCCGUGGCAUUGAAUACAAAAAUAUUACCUUUGUCUUCAUCCUCAUCUUUCUCAACGGUUGGAGAUUGUUCAGUGGCUUCUCCACAACCAUUCGAAGAUUCUACGAUAUCAUUUUCCUCGCAAGGAAUAUUCUCAUCCAAGUCCUCCCCUGCCAUACCUAAUUAAAUGGAAAAUCCUCUCAAGUUUAAAUUUGAACAAAACAAAAGGACACCGCUUAAAGCCCGGCUGGGCCAGCUCUCAUCUAUCAGUCCAUGAGAAAAUGCAACAUUAUAAAAUAACGAAAAGAAAAAAAAACAGAAAUUAGCAAAACAGAACAUUUCGAACCCAAAAUAGACAAAGUAGCAUCAACCGACUUGUGGUUGGUAGGCAAAAUCCGCUACCAAUAGCAGCCGCCGUACCGGUUGGUAAUGAUUUGCAGAUUGUCUAUACUACUGCUCUCUCCGAUUACGAAUGCUCAAAUGCUACUCUAAAGCCCCCAAUUGCCAACUUGAACUACAAAACCUUCACAUGGAUCAUUGAAUCCAUCUAAAAUUGAAUAUGCCAGCAUAGAUGAACCAACUUUAAUCCUAUUCACCAUUAUUGUAAAGUUUAUGCAUACAGAAAUCGUUUUUAAACUUCUGAAGCACAGAAAACCCAGUACAAAAACAUGAAUGAAAUCAAAAAAGUUUGAAACUUUAGACACCCCAACAAAACUAUUACAAGUCCCAACUCAGAUAUUCAUAAAUGGGCUGUAACAUUACCUAACCUUAAACAAGCACAGGCAUACGUAGGAGACGACGUCGACGAGCUUGGUGUUGAGGUUGACGAAGUCGGCCUAUAGCCGCGGAUGAUGAGGUCGAUGAGGUCGUGGUUGCGGGAGGCGAGGUAGGACUCGAGCUCGGAUCGGAGGGAGUCGAAGUCCGGUGAGAGAAAGAGCGCGGGGUUGAACCAGAGGGGUCGGAGAAGAAGUCGACAGGUUUGAGGUGGGAGGCUGAGAGAGAUUUGAAUGAUCGAGUCUGUGUUUUAGACUUUGACUAGGCACAGCUAAAUAACAAUAGCUAAUGCAAGACAAUAACAACACAUUUGGUACAAGUGAUUUGUCCAACUUGGGCUUAAUUUCUAACGGAGUCCAGCACUACUCAAGACAGGCAUAUUUUGCAAUAUGUCUAACCCAUGUUUGGUGGCAGUAUGACUUAAAAUAUCAUCACCUGUGAAAAAUACUUUAGAAACAAUGAACAAUUGAACACAAACCCAGAAGCAAUGAACAACUUCAGCCAAUGGGUUGGCAAUGAAGAAUG